rnacentral:rRNA from 1 species
CUACGUGCCAGCAGCCGCGGUAAUACGUAGGGCGCGAGCGUUGUCCGGAAUUAUUGGGCGUAAAGAGCUUGUAGGCGGUUGGUCGCGUCUGCUGUGAAAGGCCGGGGCUUAACUCCGGUUUUGCAGUGGGUACGGGCUAACUAGAGUGCAGUAGGGGAGACUGGAAUUCCUGGUGUAGCGGUGGAAUGCACAGAUAUCAGGAGGAACACCGAUGGCGAAGGCAGGUCUCUGGGCUGUAACUGACGCUGAGAAGCGAAAGCAUGGGGAGCGAACAGGAUUAGAUACCCUGGUAGUCCAUGCCGUAAACGAUGGGUACUAGGUGUAGGAGGUAUCAACCCCUUCUGUGCCGGAGUUAACGCAAUAAGUACCCCGCCUGGGGAGUACGACCGCAAGGUUGAAACUCAAAGGAAUUGACGGGGGCCCGCACAAGCGGUGGAGUAUGUGGUUUAAUUCGACGCAACGCGAAGAACCUUACCAGGUCUUGACAUUGAUGGACAGAACUAGAGAUAG